AGCUACUACAAUUUUAACAUCCAUUAUCCAUCUGAGCUGGCUUCCACUCUAGAGUUUCUUCAGAGGUGUUUCUUCUCCAUAAACCCAGAAAAAGGAACCAAAGUAGAGAACAAAAACUCAAAGCGUCGUCUCAGUGUGAACCCUCGAGUCCUCACCCUGAUUCAGGAUAUCGCCGACCACGAGUGGCGCUAAGCCUAAAUCUUGACUCUCUGUGGACUGUUAGUUUUACUUUGUUAAUUUUGUUCCACAAUGUGUACUGAAACCUUUUACUGGUCGAAUGCAUGAAGCCAAUUCAUGAAGAUUUUCUUGCUUUGAAGGAAUGUUCUUUAU